CAAUAGCGUAUAUUAAAGUUGUUGCAGUUAAAAGCUCGUAGUUGGAUUUCUGUUCUCGGGGAUUGGUCCGCCUCACGGUGAGCACUGGUAUCCUGGGGACAUCCUCUCGAAGGCGGGUGGUGCACUUAAUUGUGUGCUGCUUGGAUUCGGGACCUUUACUUUGAAAAAUUAGAGUGUUCAAAGCAGGCGUCGGCUUGAAUACAUUAGCAUGGAAUAAUGGAAUAGGACUUUGGUUCUAUUUUGUUGGUUUCUAGGACCGAAGUAAUGAUUAAUAGGGACAGUUGGGGGCAGUUAUGUAUUUAAAUUGUCAGAGGUGAAAUUCUUGGAUUUAUGAAAAGACUAACUACUGCGAAAGCAUUUGCCAAGGAUGUUUUCAUUAAUCAAGAACGAAAGUUAGGGGAUCGAAGAUGAUCAGAU
rnacentral:rRNA from 1 species